AGUUAUUUAUCUUUUAGGAAAGUAAGUGUUUUGAAAGCACUCAAAAAGAGUUCGAAUCUCUUAAUAACUU
rnacentral:tRNA from 1 species